UACGUAGGAUGCAAGCGUUGUCCGGAUUUAUUGGGCGUAAAGAGCGUGUAGGCGGCCAAGCAGGUCCGCUGUGAAAACUCGAGGCUCAACCUCGAGACGUCGGUGGAAACCGUUUGGCUAGAGUCCGGAAGAGGAGAGUGGAAUUCCUGGUGUAGCGGUGAAAUGCGCAGAUAUCAGGAGGAACACCGAUGGCGAAGGCAGCUCGCUGGGACGGUACUGACGCUGGAGAACGCGAAAGCGUGGGGAGCAAACAGG
rnacentral:rRNA from 1 species